AUUGAACGCUGGCGGCAUGCCUUACACAUGCAAGUCGAACGGCAGCACGGGAGCAAUCCUGGUGGCGAGUGGCGAACGGGUGAGUAAAGUAUCGGAACGUGCCCAGUCGUGGGGGAUAACGUAGCGAAAGUUACGCUAAUACCGCAUACGAUCUAUGGAUGAAAGCGGGGGAUCGCAAGAUCUCGCGCGAUUGGAGCGGCCGAUAUCAGAUUAGGUAGUUGGUGGGGUAAAGGCUCACCAAGCCGACGAUCUGUAGCUGGUCUGAGAGGCCGACCAGCCACACUGGGACGGAGACACGGCCCAGACUCCUACGGGAGGCAGCAGUGGGGAAUUUUGGACAAUGGGCGCAAGCCUGAUCCAGCCAUGCCGCGUGCAGGAUGAAGGCCUUCGGGUUGUAAACUGCUUUUGUACGGAACGAAAAGGUUUGACUUAAUACGUUGGACUCAUGACGGUACCGUAAGAAUAAGCACCGGCUAACUACGUGCCAGCAGCCGCCGUAG
rnacentral:rRNA from 1 species